GACGAACGCUGGCGGCGUGCUUAACACAUGCAAGUCGAACGGUAAGGCCCUUCGGGGUACACGAGUGGCGAACGGGUGAGUAACACGUGGGUGAUCUGCCCUGCACUUCGGGAUAAGCCUGGGAAACUGGGUCUAAUACCGGAUAGGACUCCGGACUGCAUGGUCUGGGGUGGAAAGCUUUUGCGGUGUGGGAUGGGCCCGCGGCCUAUCAGCUUGUUGGUGGGGUGAUGGCCUACCAAGGCGACGACGGGUAGCCGGCCUGAGAGGGUGACCGGCCACACUGGGACUGAGAUACGGCCCAGACUCCUACGGGAGGCAGCAGCGGGGAAUAUUGCACAAUGGGCGCAAGCCUGAUGCAGCGACGCCGCGUGAGGGAUGACGGCCUUCGGGUUGUAAACCUCUUUCAGCACAGACGAAGCGCAAGUGACGGUAUGUGCAGAAGGAGGACCGGCCAACUACGUGCCAGCAGCCGCAGUAA
rnacentral:rRNA from 1 species